rnacentral:tRNA from 1 species
GCGUCCAUUGUCUAAUGGAUAGGACAGAGGUUUUCUAAACCUUUAGUAUAGGUUCAACUCCUAUUGGACGCA